CGCUUGCUUGUCUGGCUCAUCGCUCGCGCUCCUUCCUGUUUCUGACCGGCGUUGGGACAUCACCUCUCGCUGUCCCAACCCCCGUUGGCACCCACUCCAGUCAAGCCCCUCAACCCGAGAGUAAAUUCCUCAUCUCCAGAUCUUGUCUGCCAUUGAAAACCACGUUGUAUCGUGUCCUUGUAUGGGGGCAUCCUUGGUCGACUGCAGGAGGCUGAAGGUUCCAGGCUGUAUCCGGCCAUCCCCAAGACUGCAAGGUUUAAGACCUCGACACUACUGGGACCCCUGAGGAGUACACCGCUGAGAAGCUCUGCCUUACCAAGUUAAGAAGACAUCGCGCACAGGGUCGGAGAUGGCUGACAGCGUGGAUUAGUGAAACGGCAUGGUAUGUGUGCACGAGCACUGCGGGCUGCAAAUGGAGGCGGGGGAUCAUGUUUGAAGACAGUGAAAAACUGGGCGCUAGAGGAAGGUGAGUCUACCUUUGAAUUUGAACACCAUGCUAAGGAGUAUGGACUUGAGGCAAACAGGACCCAUAAAAAAGGGAGAAGAAUAAUUAAUAUACAAUCUGAAUGUCAGGGAGGAACGAGAGCCUAAAGACAGAGAAACCAGUUAGGGGAGUAUUCAUAUUGUCUGUUCCACCAUGAGGGCUACAAGUCUUUCUCUUGUUUGUUUAUGCAAAGCAAAACAGA